rnacentral:tRNA from 1 species
UGUGCCGUGCGGGGGCUCUCCGGCGCGGCUCCUUUUUUCGGCGCCGGGCAUGACGGCCGGGCAGGCGCUCCUGUUCGACGCCGGGCAGUACGGCC